rnacentral:rRNA from 1 species
CACCUUGUCCUUAUAUGCGACAUCAUUAUGUUGGGAACUCUAAGGAGACUGCCGGUGACAAACCGGAGGAAGGUGGGGAUGACGUCAAAUCAUCAUGCCCCUUAUGAUUUGGGCUACACACGUGCUACAAUGGACAAUACAAAGGGUAGCAAAACCGCGAGGUCAAGCAAAUCCCAUAAAACCCGUUCUCAGUUCGGAUUGUAGUCUGCAACUCGACUACAUGAAGCUGGAAUCGCUAGUAAUCGCAGAUCAGCAUGCUACGGUGAAUACCUU